AGUGAACGCUGGCGGUAGGCCUAACACAUGCAAGUCGAACGGCAGCACAGUAAGAGCUUGCUCUUACGGGUGGCGAGUGGCGGACGGGUGAGGAAUACAUCGGAAUCUACUUUUUCGUGGGGGAUAACGUAGGGAAACUUACGCUAAUACCGCAUACGACCUACGGGUGAAAGCAGGGGAUCUUCGGACCUUGCGCGAUUGAAUGAGCCGAUGUCGGAUUAGCUAGUUGGCGGGGUAAAGGCCCACCAAGGCGACGAUCCGUAGCUGGUCUGUGAGGAUGAUCAGCCACACUGGAACUGAGACACGGUCCAGACUCCUACGGGAGGCAGCAGUGGGGAAUAUUGGACAAUGGGCGCAAGCCUGAUCCAGCCAUACCGCGUGGGUGAAGAAGGCCUUCGGGUUGUAAAGCCCUUUUGUUGGGAAAGAAAAGCAGCAGGUUAAUACCCCGCUGUUCUGACGGUACCCAAGGAAUAAGCACCGGCUAACUUCGUG
rnacentral:rRNA from 1 species